rnacentral:rRNA from 1 species
UUUAAUUCCAAACAACCCGAAAAACCUUACCAGGGCUUGACAUCCCCUGACAACCCUGGAAACAGGGCGUUCCCCCUUCCGGGGGACAGGGUGACAGGUGGUGCAUGGUGGUCGUCAGUUCGUGUCGUGAGAUGUUGGGUUAAUUCCCGCAACGAGCGCAACCUUCGCCCUUAGUUGCCACCAUUCAGUUGGCCACUUUAAGGGGACUCCCGGUUAAAAUCCGGAGGAAGGUGGGGAGGACGUCAAUUCUUCAUGCCCCUUAUCGCCCUGGGUUACCACACGUGUUCCAAUGGGCGGUCCAAAGGGUUGCGAACCCGCGAGGGGGAGCGAUUCCCAAAAAGCCGUUUUCAGUUCGGAUUCCAGGUUGCAAUUCCCCUCCAGGAACCCGGAAUCGUUGGUAAUCGCGG